GGUCAGGUAGCUCAGUCGGUAGAGCAAGGGACUGAAAAUCCCUGUGUCGGCGGUUCGAUUCCGCCCCUGACCACCA
rnacentral:tRNA from 1 species